rnacentral:rRNA from 1 species
GAUGAACGCUGGCGGCGUGCCUAAUACAUGCAAGUCGAGCGAACGGACGAGAAGCUUGCUUUUCUGAUGUUAGCGGCGGACGGGUGAGUAACACGUGUAUAACCUACCUAUAAGACUGGGAUAACUUCGGGAAACCGGAGCUAAUACCGGAUAAUAUUUUGAACCGCAUGGUUCAAAAGUGAAAGACGGUCUUUCUGUCACUUAUAGAUUGAUCCGCGCUGCAUUAGCUAGUUGGUAAGGUAACGGCUUACCAAGGCAACGAUGCAUAGCCGACCUGAGAGGGGGAUCGGCGACACUGGAACUGAGACACGGCCCAGACUACUACGGGAGGCAGCAGUAGGGAAUAUUCCGCAAUGGGCGAAAGCCUGACGGAGCAACGCCGCGUGAGUGAUGAAGGUCUUCGGAUCGUAAAACUCUGUUAUUAGGGAAGAACAUAUGUGUAAGUAACUGUGCACAUCUUGACGGUACCUAAUCAGAAAGCCACGGCUAACUACGUG